rnacentral:rRNA from 1 species
CCUACGGGUGGCAGCAGUGGGGAAUAUUGGUCAAUGGGCGCAAGCCUGACCCAGCAACGCCGCGUGAAGGAAGAAGGCUUUCGGGUUGUAAACUUCUUUUCUCAGGGACGAAGCAAGUGACCGUACCUGAAGAAUAAGCCACCGCUAACUACGUGCUAGCAGCCGCGGUAAUACGUAGGUGGCAAGCGUUAUCCGGAUUUACUGGUUGUAAGGGUCGUGUGGGCGGGACUGCAAGUAAGAGGUGAAGACCACGGGUUCAACCUGUGCCCUGCAUUUGAAACUGUAGUUCUGGAGUACUGGAGAGGCAGACGGAAUUCCUAGUGUAGCGGUGAAAUGCGUAGAUAUUAGGAGGAACACCAGUGGCGAAGGCGGUCUGCUGGACAGCAACUGACGCUGAGGCGCGAAAGCGUGGGGAGCAAACAGGAUUAGAUACCCGUGUAGUC